AUUAAACCAAGAGUGCACUUUAUUGUGGCUCAAAACUUUUUAACUUUAACCCCAACACUUGCUUGUGUGACACUUUUGUCAUUGCAUUCAGGUAGAAGUAACUUUUGUUACAUUAUCCCCCCCUCAACUCUUUUUUUAAACUAAUUGAUUGAAGAUAAGAAUGUAAAUUUGAUAUUUUUAAAUAACUUUUAACAAUGGAUCUCUUGGCUCUCAUAUCGAUGAAGAACACAGUGAAAUGUGAUAAGUAAUGUGAAUUGCAGAAUUCAGUGAAUCAUUGAAUCUUUGAAUGCAUCUUGCACCUUUUGGUUAUUCCAAAAGGUACACCUGUUUGAGUGUCAUGAAAAUCUAUCAUCAAAUUUAUUUUUGAUGGAUAUUGAGUGUUGCUGAUUUAUAGCUCACUUUAAAUAUAUAAGUUUUCCUCUUCAAUGUGCUGGAUUGACUUGGUGUAAUAUUAACUUUUGUUCACAAGGAAAGUAGCAAUACUUGCCAGUGUUUUGAUGAUGGGACUUCUAAAGGUGUUCAUUGUCCAAUUUU
rnacentral:rRNA from 1 species